rnacentral:ribozyme from 1 species
UGUAUAAUAAUUAUGAACAGAUGGAUAAAAGGGACAGAGUGCGAAAUACAUCAAAAAAAGUAUUCUUUUGUCAUUUCUUUUUUUUCCCUUUGCAUUUCAUCGAUGCCUCUUUAAUGUUUUGAUCUGCG